AAUCAGUACCCAAAAAGUAGCUCUUGGUUUCAUAAAGGUUGGCUACCCCUGAUCUAGCUGAAUCAUCACAUGGAUUGCGAAGUAUUUUGUUCAUGCACGUCGCAACAAGCCUCCCUUCACAACAUGUUACAUAAUAAAAACGAUUAACGGUUAAUUACAGAGUAAGUGGAAGCGAAGUGAGGCGACGUUACCCCGUAUUUAGCUCCCAGUCCUUGCUCCGCAUCGGCGUUAAGACAUUGUUGAAAUCAUCACUGGAUUGGGCAGAGAUUAUCAGUUAGAUCGAGAAGAGGGAGUAAAAAGGUCCAUAGUCUCCCCGCCGAUGCUCGCCAAUGCAUGCUAGCGCGCGCUAGCUAGCCACUUUGUUUACAAGACAAUGGAAGCCUAGCGGACACAGAAGGGAAGACGCCGCGUCCUCCGCCCUCCUCGUCUUUCUUUAAAGCAGCGACCUUUGUUCCGCGGUGUUUAAAUCGUAACAGGUGCCGUCGACUUCCAUCAGACACUUGCCUCAAGACACCCGUGGACACACGCUUCCGACUAUCAGGUACUAUUAAACUCACUAAAACACCAGCAACACAAUAGAAAGAUAAGGGAUUUCCCAGAAUUAUCCUUGUAAAUGUGUCUAAAAACAUCUGAAUCCGUCCCAAUGCAAUCGUGUUGUUUUUUUUUUCUUGUUUUUUGUUUUGUUUUUUGUUUUCUAGUCCGUCGCUAUCAAUAUCCUCAAACACAAAUCUUUCAUCUUCGCUCAAAUUAAUGGGGAAAUUGUUGUUUUCUCGGUCCAAAUAGCUCUUUUUGUUGGAGGCUCCCAUUAAAAACAAUGUGAGGAUCUUAGGAGCCAUCAACAGGUGACGUCAUUGUCUGCGACUUCCGGUAAAGGCAGUGCUUUUCUGUUAGCGACCGAAAGUUGCGAACUUUAUCGUGGAUGUUCUCUACUAAAUCCUUUCAGCAAAAAUAUGGCAAUAUCGCGAAAUGAUCAAGUAUGACACAUAGAAUGGACCUGCUAGCCCUGUUUGAAUAAGAAAAUCUCAUUUCAGUACGCCUUUAAGGUGAUACAACUACAACUACUAUCCAGUGAAGUUGGCACAUUGUGUAAAUCGUAAAUAAAAACAGAAUACAAUGAUUUACAAAUCCUUUUCAACUUAUGUUCAAUGAAUAGACUGCAAAGAAAAGAUACUUAAUGUCUGAACUGAGAAACUUAUUCUUUCCCUCCAAAUAAUCCUUAACUUACAAAUUAAUGGUAGCAACACAUUGCAAAAAAGUUGGCAAAGGGGCAUUUUUACCACUGUGUUACAUGGCCUUUGCUUUUAACAACACUCAGUAAACGUUUGGGAACUGAGGAGACCAAUUUUCUAAGCUUUUCAGGUGGAAUUCUUUCCCAUUCGUCAGACCACAGAACACUUAUCCACUUUGCAUCAGUUCAUCUUAGCAUUUCUGGGUGUUGUUGAUAAAUAGCUUUCGCUUUGCAUAGUAGAGUUUUAACUUGCACUUACAGACGUAGCGACAAACUUUAGUUAGUGACAGUGGUUUUCUGAAGUGUUCCUGAGCCCAUGUGGUGAUAUCCUUUACGCACUGAUGUCGCUUUUUGAUGUAGUAACGCCUGAGCGUUCAAAGGUCACGGGCAUUCAAUGUUGGUUUUCUCCAGAUUCUCUGAACCUUUUGAUGAUAUUACGGACCUUAGACGGUGAAAUUCCUAAAUUGUUUGCAAAAACUCGUUGAAAAAUGUUGUACUUAAACUGUUUGGACAAUUUGGUCACACAUUUGGUGACCCUCGCCCUGUCAUUGUUUGUGAAUGACUGACCAUUUCAUGGAAGCUGCUUUUAUACCCAAUGAUGGCACCCACCUGUUCCCAAUUAGCCUGUUCACCUGUGGGAUGUUCCAAAUAAGUGUUUGAUGAGCAUUCCUCAACUUUGUCAGUCUUUUUUGCCACCCGUGCCAGCUUUUUUUAAACAUGUUGCAGGCAUCAAAUUCCAAAUGAGCUAAUAUUUGCAAAAAAUAACAAAGUUUUCCAGUUCGAACUUUAAAUAUCUUGUCUUUGCAGUAUAUUCAAUUGAAUAAAGGUUGAAAAUGUUUCGGAAAUCAUUGUAUUCUCUUUUUAUUUACGAUUUACGCAACGUGCAGACUUCACUAGUUUUGGGUUUUAUAGUUGAAUGACAUCUCUGUCAUGGCCUGAGGGGGUCUGUAUCGCUUUUAAGCAACUUUAAGGAAGUCACUGCCACACCAAAAAACACAAUUGUGCAGACGGCUUAUGUUACACGUCACUUCCCCCUUUCCCCAUUCGUCGCAAAAAGGUAAGUCGAUGCUAACGCCUACGUGCAAUUACUGCUAUCAUGGCCGAAGCUGCGAAACACCCCCAAAAAAAUAAAGCAAAAGUUUUGUCUGAGGUGACAAAAAACAAAAGAAAAAGGGAGGCUACCUGGAUAAAAAGAUAAACAAGGAUCAACAUUGGCCCGCUGUUGUGAGCUCAAAGACGGGAGGGGUUUCGACUGUUGCUGCCUGGGCUCUGGUCCUGCUCUACUUACUAGUAAAGUACCUUUUCAAGCGCAAAUCAAAACGAUAAUGAUAAUCUUUGGAGGAAGAAGAAUACUGAGUUGCAUCCUAAGAACACCAUACCUACUGUGAAGCAUGGGGGGUGGAAACAUCAUGCUUUGGGGCUGUUUUUCUGCUAAGGGGACAGGACGAUUGAUCCGUGUUUAGGAAAGAAUGAAUUGGGCCAUGUAUCGUGAGAUUUUGAGCCAAAACCUCCUUUCAUCAGUGAGAGCUUUGAACUUGCACAACGGUGGCUGACUGAAUACUUUUUUGCCCCACUGUUUUUGCAUAUAACGAGAUAAAGGACUCAAAUUUAAGGUGCGGUAGUGGGAACAAAUAUGGGAUAAAAAUAAAUUACACAACAAGUAAUCAAGAUAAAACUAAGAAUUGACUAUCCAAUAAAAAUAAUAAGCAACCCUGUACAAUAAAAUAAAAUCAAUACAAUUAAUUGGGUGGUAACAGUUUCAUUUUUAAAUCAGGCAGAAUAGAAAAAAAUAUGGAAUCACUCAAUUCUGAGGAAGUAAUAAUACAAACAAACAAAAUAACACUACAACAUACCACUAUGUGAGGACGGUGUGAUGAAGUUGGUAGAGUGGCCGUGCCAGCAAUCUGAGGGUUACUGGUUCAAUCCCCACUAUACCAUCCUAUUCACGUCCAUUGUGUCCUUGGGCAAGACACUUCACCCUUGCUCCUGAUGGGUCCUGGUUAGCGCCUUGCAUGUUAGCUCCCGCCAUUAUUGUGUGAAUGUGUGUGUGAAUGGGUGAAAGUGGAAAUACUUUCAAAGCGCUUUGAGUACCUUAAAAAAAAGGUAGGAAAGCGCUAUACAAGUACAACCAUUUUACCAUUUUUAUUUUACUAGUACUUUCUUGCACCACCCCUGGCUUUUAUAACAUCUUGCAGUCUUUGGCUACAUUUACACUGCAGGGUAGGAUGAGGAUGAGCAAUUCGGAUUAUUUAGUCAAAUCCCAUUAUUUUAUCAAAUUGUUCAUAUUACAAAAUGUCUAAUGUGAGCAUAAUUUGACACAUGACGUCAUGCAGUGUUUACAGAAGUAAACAUGGCUCCACUUCUAGUCGGUCUCAGUCCUGGCACACUUGUGGCAAUUUUCAAAGGUUUUGUACAGUCAAUAUUUUCUGAACCGAAUUAGAAGAAGGAAGAGAGGAAGUAUUUUGGCUCAUGCAGUUCGUGGGACAUUUGCUUUGAUGUCUGCUACAAAGAGCGUGUGGGCGAGCAGUCGGAGACAUGAGUUCCUUAAACAUUUUUUUCGCCGGUUUUAUUCGUGCUAUUUAUUUUGAAAUCCUCUAUUUUGGUAAAGAAUUAUGACUUUAUCGCUUUUUGGUGACGGACUAGUUGAAGGAACUCGACCGAUUGUUCAGACUGCUGUCGUGUCAAAUACAUAUCUGAUUUAUAUUCAAACAAAAAAAGAGGUCAACUUUUCAAUUUGAUUGAGAUCCAGACUAUUUGCAGGCCACAACAUUGACCUUAUGUAUCUUUCUUAAAGGAAAUCGUUUAAAGUUUUAUCUCUAUGGCAAGAUGCAUUAUCACCGAUGUGUCAAAGCCAAGGCCUGAGGGCCAAAUCCGGCCCACAAAUGAAUUAUCUAUAGCCCCGGCAUGACAUUUGAUUAGUAUUAGAAACGGCCCGCAGGCCACAGCCGCCUGCUGCUGUUUUGCACGCACCAAUACUCAAUCAAUGUUGGCGCUAGAAAUUUUCAAAAUGACCCCAUCAAGUCAUAAAAAUGGGGUCCCCACAGAACAUUUUUGGGGUUCCACUUUUUUGUAACAGUUUUGGGAAAAAAAAGAUAAAUUUAUGCAUUAUCCUGUUAUAUCUCACAUUUUAUAUUGUGUUUUUGAAAAAAGGUUGUCAUAAACGUUACUUAAUUCAUUAAAAAAAACUAAUACAAAAGAAAAUAAAUUUUUAUGCAUAUGUAGAUGUAUUCAGUUAUAAACAUUCAUACGCUUUCUUCUUUCCAUCAUGGAUCUAAACUUAACAGCUGCCGGUAUUUUUAAAAUAUUUUUAUUGUGUUAUUUUUAGAAUGUGUUUGUUCUAUUUUUUUGGCCAAAGUAAGACAAAGAAAAUAGUCUAAAGUUGUCUUUAUUUUUCAGUUUUAAUGCGAUGAUUUUAAUAGUCCGGCAAGAUUUUGAGUUGGGUCUGAGCUAAAAUGAGUUAGACACCCCUGCAUUAUCAUCACCAAACGUCUUUUAGAUCAGGGGUGUCAAACUCAUUUUAAAUGAGGGGCCACAUGGAGGAAAAUCUAAUCCUAUGUGGGCCGGACUGGUAAAAUUACGGCACGAUAACAUAAAAAUAAAGACAACUUCAGAUUGUUUUCUUUGUUUAAAAAUAGAACAAGCACAUUCAGAAAAUGUACAAAUCAUAAUGUUGUUAUUGUUGUUUUAUUACACUUACUGUACAUGCGGUUAAUAGUAUUCUACCUUUAUUUCUCAUUAUUUAAACUUUCUGAAUAAAUGAUGUGAUAAUGUUCACCAGUUAACUCACUGGUGUUAAUUUUAAAUCCAUCAAGAUAAAAAAUAAUACAAAAAUCAAAUUACAGGAUGUUAUUUAUUAGGGCUGCGAAUCUUUGGGUGUCCCACGAUUCGAUUCAAUAUCGAUUCUUGGGGUCGCGAUUCCCUUAUAAAUCGAUUUUUUCGAUUCAACGCGAUUCUCAAUUCCAAAUCGAUAUUUUUCCAAUUCAAAACGAUUCUGUAUUCAUUCAAUACAUAGGAUUUCAGCAGGAUCUACCCCAGACUGCUGACAUGCUAGCAGAGUAGUAGAUAAUAAAAAAAAAUGUUUUUAUAAAUUGUAAAGGACAAUGUUUUAUCAACUGAUUGCAAUAAUGAAAAUUAGUUUUAACUAUUAAACAAACCAAAAAUAUGACUUAUUUUAUCUUUGUGAAAAUAUUGGACACAGUGUGUUGUCAAGCUUAUGAGAUGCGAUGCAAGUGUAAGCCACUGUGACACUUUUGUUCUUUUUCUUUUUUUUUAUAAAUGUCUAAUGAUAACGUCGAUGAGGGAUUUUUAAUCACUGCUAUGCUGAAAUUAAAGCUAAUAUUGAAACUGUUUUUGAUAAUAUUCAUGUUUGUUUCACUACUUUUGGUUUGUUCUGUGUCGUGUUUGUGUCUCUGUUGUGGGACAUGCGCAUUCUGCGUCUCUCUCCGCUGCGAGUCCAACCAGAGGACCCGCCGACAGCGCACUCCAGACACGCCCCCGCAUUCAUCAAGCGGACCGCGCCCACUCUCCGCCGCAGCCGGCUGCAGGACACACCUGUGACUGACGAUGAGCAGCAUAAAAGACCAGUGGACACAGGGAUCCGUGCGGGAACUUAGUUUCAAAUGCGUACCAAUUCUCCGUCGCCCGCAAGGUGAGCUGUGCGUCUCACUCUUUUCCCUGGAUCUCCCUCUGGAUUCUGACUGCCUCCUUUGUACCUCGACUCCUCGCUCGUUUGACCUGAACCCUCUGCCUGCCCCACGGACUUCCGCGUUCUCUUUUGUCAACACUUGGGUAAAACACACUUCAGUUAAUUUACACACUUAGACUAACACCAUACACUCUAUAGUUUUUGCCACGCUCCAUUUACUUAGUAUGUUUUCUGUUGAUUGAUUAUUACAUAUAUACAUUUGUUAAAAUAUAUAUAUAUAUAUAUAUACAUAUAUAUAUAUAUAUAUAUAUAUAUAUAUAAUAAAUAUUUGGACAUACUGCCACCUGGUGUCCGUUUGCCGUCAGGUCCUCCCUUAGUAAACCAUAACAGUCUCCUCUCAAUUGCUCUGUUUAUUGCAGUUCUGAGUGUUGCUGGGUCAGGUUUGGUUUUGGAAUUGGAUUGCAUUGUUAUGGUAUUGCUGUGUAUUUUGUUGGAUUGAUUAAAAUAAAUAAAUAAAUAAAUCGAGAACUGAUUCUGAAUCGCACAACAUGAGAAUCGCGAUUCAAAUCCAAAUCGAUUUUUUUCCCACACCUCUAUAAUUUAUGUAGUUUGCUCAUUUUCCUCGACUGUUGCACUAACAUCAUAUGUCUUUUUUGUUGUUUUUUUUAAAUAUAUAGCAUCAUCUACAAAGAUACAAAGAAUUGCUAUUGCGACAUCUAGUGGACACAAUUAGAACAGCAGUUUCUUUUAUUCAAAAAUUUCGGCUCAUUUUUAUACUUAGAAAACUCAAUCAAUCAAUCAAUCAAUGUUUAUUUAUAUAGCCCUAAAUCACAAGUGUCUCAAAGGGCUGCGCAAGCCACAACGACACCCUUGGUUCAGAUCCCACAUGAGGGCAAGGAAAAACUCACAACCCAGUGGGAUGUUAAUGUGAAUGACUAUGAGAAACCUUGGAGAGGACCGCAAAUGUGGGUGACCCCUUCCCUCUAGGCGAGACCUUAAGGAAUGGACUGUGAGUGGGUCUAGCAUAAUAUUGGGAAAGUCCAGUCCAUGGUGGAUCUAACAUAAUAGUGAGAGUCCAAACCCAGAUAAAACCUGUUCCCGGGCCUGAUCUGGCCCGCGGGCCUUACGUUUGAUGCUCCAGCUUUAAAGAUUGAUGGAAUAAGAAAGCAUUUAUUGACAAUAUAAAGCCAGCCAUCACCCCAGUGCCUUUGCCUGACAUGCAACCCCAUAUCUGUGGAAAGAUUCCCUUUCCACCAAAAGUUCAGGAACAUGAAAUUGCUGGAACCUUUAGUUCCUGAAUUUAUGUAGAGGUGUAUGGUUUGUGU